rnacentral:rRNA from 1 species
ACAUGUCUACAACAUAAUGUUAAUGCAUUGGAUCCCAUUAUAACUUUGCAGUUAAGUGCACUCGGGAUAAAGUAGUACUGGGAUGGGUGACUUCUUGAGAAGUCCUAGUGUUUUACAUGCC